CGGUACCCAUAAUGUGUGGAACUCAUGAUCAGAGAAUCCUGAUUCUUGAUCACUGAGUCCCAAACAUGUAGGCUUCUACAUCAGCCAUCAGAUCAGAUAGGAACCUCUAAUACGUGUGACCUCGCAGGUUCGAACCUAAGCCAGUAGCACAGGAACCAAUUCCUGUACUAAUUGAAGUGACCAUCUAGCAAUGGUACCCGAUGUUCGGAUAGAUCGAAGAGUCACAAUCGUAACACUCAGAACCUACAUGAAUAUGGUUACUGUAUAAUUCAUCCUUUUGAUCCCUGUGUUUAGGAUGACUCAGGGUUAAACUGUCAAUCCUGAUC
rnacentral:lncRNA from 1 species